AGAGUUUGAUCCUGGCUCAGAGCGAACGCUGGCGGCAGGCCUAACACAUGCAAGUCGAGCGGCCGUAGCAAUACGGCAGCGGCAGACGGGAGAGUAACACGUGGGAACGCACCCUUCGGUUCGGGAUAACCCAGGGAAACUUGGGCUAAUACCGGAUACGCCCUUACGGGGAAAGAUUUAUUGCCGAAGGAACGGCCCGCGUCCGAUUAGCUAGUUGGUGAGGUAACGGCUCACCAAGGCGACGAUCGGUAGCUGGUCUGAGAGGAUGACCAGCCUCACUGGGACUGAGACACGGCCCAGACUCCUACGGGAGGCAGCAGUGGGGAAUAUUGGACAAUGGGCGCAAGCCUGAUCCAGCCAUGCCGCGUGGGUGAUGAAGGCCCUAGGGUUGUAAAGCCCUUUCAGUGGGGAAGAUAAUGACGGUACCCGCAGAAGAAGCCCCGGCUAACUUCGUGCCAGCCGCCGCGGUAAUAC
rnacentral:rRNA from 1 species